GGAAAGUUUGCUUCCCUUCGCCAACUGUUCACAGCUAAGAAGACUAGAAAUUCUGAAUGAAGGGGUAAGUUUUGGAAUAUAUCGUUUUGUUCCAGCUCAAAGAAAUUUGUGCUGUCAUAGAGAUAUAAAUUGUCAGUGAGUUUGGUUAAUUGAUCAGAUUAUGAUGAUUAGCAAAGGAACGAAAUGUUGGAAAAUGAUGUUGAUGAGGGAAGUUGGUUCGUAAAUAAAAAGAUGGUUAGAGGACUUACUUGCAUUGUCUCCUGACCUUGUUCUAAAUCCACGUAUCUGCUUUACAAC
rnacentral:misc_RNA from 1 species